AUUGAACGCUGGCGGCAUGCCUUACACAUGCAAGUCGAACGGUAACAGGUCUUCGGAUGCUGACGAGUGGCGAACGGGUGAGUAAUACAUCGGAACGUGCCUAGUAGUGGGGGAUAACUACUCGAAAGAGUGGCUAAUACCGCAUGAGGUCUACGGAUGAAAGCAGGGGAUCGCAAGACCUUGUGCUACUAGAGCGGCCGAUGGCAGAUUAGGUAGUUGGUGGGAUAAAAGCUUACCAAGUCGACGAUCUGUAGCUGGUCUGAGAGGACGAUCAGCCACACUGGGACUGAGACACGGCCCAGACUCCUACGGGAGGCAGCAGUGGGGAAUUUUGGACAAUGGGCGAAAGCCUGAUCCAGCAAUGCCGCGUGCAGGAUGAAGGCCUUCGGGUUGUAAACUGCUCUUGUACGGAACGAAAAGCCCCGGGUUAAUACCCUGGGGUCAUGACGGUACCGUAAGAAUAAGCACCGGCUAACUACGUGCCAGCAGCCGCAGUAA
rnacentral:rRNA from 1 species